CCUACGGGUGGCAGCAGUGAGGAAUAUUGGUCAAUGGGCGCGAGCCUGAACCAGCCAAGUAGCGUGAAGGAUGACUGCCCUACGGGUUGUAAACUUCUUUUAUAAAGGAAUAAAGUGAGGCACGUGUGCCUUUUUGUAUGUACUUUAUGAAUAAGGAUCGGCUAACUCCGUGCCAGCAGCCGCGGUAAUACGGAGGAUCCGAGCGUUAUCCGGAUUUAUUGGGUUUAAAGGGAGCGUAGAUGGGUUGUUAAGUCAGUUGUGAAAGUUUGCGGCUCAACCGUAAAAUUGCAAUUGAUACUGGCAGCCUUGAGUACAGUUGAGGUAGGCGGAAUUCGUGGUGUAGCGGUGAAAUGCUUAGAUAUCACGAAGAACUCCGAUUGCGAAGGCAGCUCACUGGACUGCAACUGACGCUGAGGCACGAAGGCCAGGGGAGCGAAAGGGAUUAGAUACCCUAGUAGUC
rnacentral:rRNA from 1 species